rnacentral:rRNA from 1 species
UUUAGCAUGGAAUAAUAGAAUAGGACGUGUGGUUCUAUUUUGUUGGUUUCUAGGACCGCCGUAAUGAUUAAUAGGGAUAGUCGGGGGCAUCAGUAUUCAAUUGUCAGAGGUGAAAUUCUUGGAUUUAUUGAAGACUAACUACUGCGAAAGCAUUUGCCAAGGAUGUUUUCAUUAAUCAGUGAACGAAAGUUAGGGGAUCGAAGACGAUCAGAUACCGUCGUAGUCUUAACCAUAAACUAUGCCGACUAGGGAUCGGGCGAUGUUAUCUUUUUGACUCGCUCGGCACCUUACGAGAAAUCAAAGUUUUUGGGUUCUGGGGGGAGUAUGGUCGCAAGGCUGAAACUUAAAGAAAUUGACAGAAGGGCACCACCAGGAGUGGAGCCUGCGGCUUAAUUUGACUCAACACGGGGAAACUCACCAGGUCCAGACACAAUAAGGAUUGACAGAUUGAGAGCUCUUUCUUGAUUUUGUGGGUGGUGGUGCAUGGCCGUUCUUAGUUGGUGGAGUGAUCUGUCUGCUUAAUUGCAAUAACGAACGAGACCUUAACCUGCUAAAUAGCCCGGCUAGCUUUGGCUGGUCGCUGGCUUCUUAGAGGGACUAUCGGCUCAAGCCGAUGGAAGUUUGAGGCAAUAACAGGUCUGUGAUGCCCUUAGAUGUUCUGGGCCGCACGCGCGCUACACUGACAGAGCCAACGAGUUCAUCACCUUGGCCGAAAGGUCUGGGUAAUCUUGUUAAACUCUGUCGUGCUGGGGAUAGAGCAUUGCAAUA